CCUCUCGUGGCGUAGAGGUAAAGCGCCCUAUCUAGCGAACAGGAAGACGUGAGUUCGAUUCUUACCGAAAAGA
rnacentral:tRNA from 1 species